UGUUCUGUGAAGUUGUCAGGGAGCCUGUAUACUGUUGCUGUUUCUUUUGGAGGUGUGCGUGUGUGUUCUUGUUUGAGCAGUUGCUGACAGGAGCUGGGGAACUGAGCCUGAUAAAGCUGCAGGAGGGCUGUGCAGGCAUAACCUUUACUUCAAGCAGGAAAACCACCAUAAAAAAAGAAUUGGGCUCGGCUGGGCAAAGCUGGAAGCAGGACUGUCCGGUAAUGUCCAACAUGUGGUAUUAUUUAAGGCUGAAUCCCCCAGGGCUGGGAACCAUAGUGCUAUUGGAAUAUUGUGAUUUGCCAAGAUCGCCCUGGUCGGGGGUGGGGUCAGAGCGGGAGACUGCACUCUUGUGGGUGAGAGGUCAGAUUUCCCCUGAAGGGAGGGGUGUUUGCACUCCCAGGCAUCGUGGGAAGAGUCAGAUCCUGGGGUCAGGAAAGAGGAAAGAGUCUUAAACAGGGUACUCCUUGAAGAUAGAGAAGGGUCACUUCUGUGUCUGUCAGUAUCGUUCAUGUUGGCUCAGAAGCCAUAGUGAAAGUUCCGUGAUUCUGAAUGGUCCUCAGUUCCAGGGCUCCUGCCCACACUCCACACACCGUGAACAUCUGAUGCCCUUGCAGCUUCGCUUAUUCCUGAAGGCCUGGGAGAGCCCCUGCAGCAUGUCUGGCUUCAUCAACGUUAUCAAGAAAGUAGUGGGUGGAUAAAUAUUAACUUGGGAAUGACUUGGAUUCAGAGUCUCUAGACACCACUUAUUUGCAUUUCUUGGCCAAACCAAUACUGCCCUCCACUUACUUGUUCCUUUACUAUUUUCCAAGGAUCUGGUGGGAAGGACAUAAGAGAAAGGAUGUGGAAGUGAUCAAUACACUACGAAGCAUUAUUCAUGCCCAUCUGCUCCUGCCUCAGGCCCUUUGCACUAGCUGUUUCUCUGCCCAGAAUCCUCUUACAUCCUAAUGGUUGUACCCUUACUUUCUUCAAGUGUCUGCCAAUUGUCACUUCAUUGGAGAGCCCUUCUCUGGCUUCUUUGUGCAAAACAGAGAUCUUCCCAAUCCACGAUUUUUGGCACUUGUCCCAAUCCCGCUUUGUUUCUCUCCAGAGUCCUUGCUACCAUCUGACAUAUAUAUAUUGGACAUUUUUAAAUUGACUCCAUAAGGAGGGAGAUCUGGAGCUCUUUUAUUCAUUGCUAUCUAUCUCCCUAGGGUCUAGAACAGUGCCUGACACAUAGUAAGCACUCAAUAAAUAUUGUUGAAUGAAUGCAUGAAAUAAUUCAUUGUAAGAUUUUAUGAGAUUUGCCCAUUUCCACAAUAUAAAUAUAGUCCAAAGCUAAAGAGGAAUCAUUUCCCAUUGCUUUUGUCCAAAUGCAGCAUUGUACAAACUACUGAGAGGCCUGGGAUGAAACUCAGAACUAUCUUGAGGCUCUUAGACAUUUUCCCUGGCCUGGCUCAUUUUGGGGUAUGUCUGUGAGGGCCUCCAAUUUAUGGGGCUUUUUCCUCUCUUUUUCAGGCCAUUAGACCUCAAGGACAAAAACGGCAUUGUCAGAUGACAGGUACCCUAUGAACAAAGGUCUCCUGCAGGUCUAAUAAAAAGAUAACAGAAGCGAGGCAUAUUCAAUUUCUCUUUUCCACAAUUCAAUUUGUCUUUUCCUGGCCUGUCUUUUCCUUUAGACUUGCUCUCUGAGUUGUCCUGUUUCUCCGGGUCUCUCUGGGAAUCCUGCUGGCUCUAGGUGGCUCUUCCAAAUCCAUGCAGAGUUUGCAAAGUGCACUUUAUUCUUCAUGACAACAUUCAGAACCUUCUUCAACUUGCUUUUCGAGAAAGUGAAAGGCAUUGGCCUUCUGCUCUGAUCCUUGUCACCUCUCUGACCUUGUCUGCUCUCCCCUCAUUGAACACACUGAGCUAAUCCCACCUCAAGGCCUUUGCUCUGGAGCUCUCCUCCUGCACACAUAUGCUUAGCUAGUUCACCUCUUUCAAUUGCUUGCUCACAUUUUACCUUCUCAGGGGGGCAAGUGUUGACUGCCUUACUUAACCUUGCAAAUGUUCCCUCCUCUCUCCUCACAGCCCACUCCUCCAGUUCCAGCAUCCCUUAUCCCCUGACCCUUUUUCCUAUCUUCUCUUUACUUCCCAUAGCAUUUAUCAUCUUCUAAUUCAUUAUACAAUUUACUUGUUAUUUGCAUGUAUCGUUUGUUGUCUGACUCCCUCCUUCUAGAAAAUUAGCUCCAAGAGAAUAGGGAUUGCUUUUUUCCCCCUGUAAUUUCUCUAUACCAAAGAUCCAGGAUAGGACUAGACACAGAGAAAAUGGUCAAUAAGUAGUACUGCAUAAAGUAGAUGACUUUAAACAUGAAUGAGAUGGUUUUAUAUCACUGGCUUGUCCUGGCUAAUAAUUUGGGGCCUUCUGGUGUCUUAAUUCUUUGUGAAAUGUAUGGCAUCUAAUUUGCUUCUCUUUCCUUUAUAGAAACAUUGUGCUCCUUGAGCAAUACUUUAAUUCCAGAAACAUAAACUGAAAACCUCCUAGGAAUCAGGCAGUCCUGGUGCUGGACCUGAGGGCUGGUGAAAUGAAUAAGACAUACUCCCUGACUUUAAGAACACAGACAGAAAUGUGAACAAAUAAAUUAUAAUUCAGUAUCACUAGAGCAAUAAUGGGAGCAUGCUCAAAGUAAAGAGAUGACCCACAGGGAAGAAAUCCAGAAUCUUCACAUGGGAUGGGAGAAGAGUAACAAAGAAGCCUUCCCAGAAGAGCUGAUGUUAAACCUCAACAGGGGUUUCUCCAGUAACAGCCUUAAAUAAAUAUAAUUACCUUUGGACAAUAAAGUGCUUCAACGUCGUAUACUGAAAACCAAUAAAAAAUACCAGUUACUUGGAAGAGUUCCUGUUUGGAGCCUGACCUGGCCCUUACACAGUGGAGUCAGGAGGUGAAAGGUUAAAACUCCCUGCCAGUGUGUCUCAGAGUUUGCUGAGAAGGAUCACCUGGAGUACUUGGUCCUGUGGUUGUGGCCCAGGGAAAAAAGCGCACGGAGACAUUUGCUUGCAUUACCACAGUGGACAAGAAUAUGCAAGCCGAAAACCAACACAGGGCGAAAUCCAGAGCCAUAGGCAGUUGAUGCCCUGGAAGGGUCCAUGGCUUCCCUGUUGAAGAUCACAUGCUUCCUCAAAGAUGCAAAGACAUUUACUAGUACUUUCAAUUAACUAUCACUUUGUGCCCUGGUCACAGUCAUGUACCGUCAAGUUACUGUUUGGGCAACAGUUAAUUAUCAGCUGUCUGGACCAGCUCACCGUAAACAUAUUGCGGUGUUUCAUCACUCAUGUUUUAUUUAAUUUCACUUGUCAUCAAGGUCCUUGAUUGGAGCGUGGUGAUUUAGUCUGAGAGAGGUGAUUUUCACUCUCGUUGAAAACUGCUUGUCAUUCAUUUCAUGCUCUGCUCCAAAGGCAAGGAUGUUCCUCUCUCACCCAAGGGAGCUAGGUCUGGCGCUCCCUGAGGCAGCUCCAAGAAGGAGCCAGGCCAUUGAUUGGAAUCGUGAUGCAGUGGCAAGGGGCUAAAUGAGAGACACAUGGUGGUGUGCAGGCAGUGUCAUCUGUCUUCAGUUAAUAAUGACAUUUCCAGUGUGGGAUUACUCACAAGAAGACCCCAGGACCACGGCCAUUUUUCAGAUGUGAAGAAUUAGUGAGCUCCCACAUAGGUUUCAUGGACAAUGAAGCAAACUUUAAAGAUGAGAUACAGUUUUCCAUGGAGAUGUUUGUGUUUUGCCAGCCGCUUUGGCAAUGAUACAAAGCGCUCGUAUUUAAUGCACAGAAACACAUGUGAAUAUAUACUCACACUGAGAGAAGCCCAGUAAUGUCCUCUGCAGAUGGAUUGUGGGCCUCCUGGUCAGCCCCACAGUGAGGCUGUUGGAAUAACCUGGAAUGCCCCAGCUCUGACACUCAGGUGAGUGGAGGCAGAUGUAAGAGUGAUCACCUGCUGUGAAGUGCGUCAGGCAGACAAACACACCCCUGUGUGCCCCAUUCCUCUCUAACAUGGGCAAGGAGUAUGCAAAAAAUGGCUAUUAAAGGAAUUCAGCAAGGAGUUUCCCAUCCAAAGACCUGACCCAAGAGUUUCUUCAGAACAAUUUGAGGGUCUCUGUCUGUGGUGGGAGCAAAUAAACAAAUAAAUAAAAAUAAACAAUGGGACAAGUGGGAGUUCCUAUCGUGGCGCAGUGGUUAACGAAUCUGACUAGGAACCAAGAGGUUGCAGGUUCGAUCCCUGGCCUUGCUCAGUGGGUUAAGGAUCUGGCAUUGACAUAAGCUGUGGUGUAGGUCGCAGAUGCAGCUUGGACCCCACGUUGCUGUGGCUCUGGUGUAGCCUGGCAGCUAUGGCUCUGAUUAGACCCCUAGCCUGAACCUCCAUAUGCCUCAGGAGCGGCCCUAGAAAAGGCAAAAAGACUAAAUAAAUAAAUAAAAAUAAAAAUAAAUAAUGGGACAAGAAUGUCACAAAGUCAGUAAGGACAGCAUGACCUUACAAUAUUAAUUUGCCCAAAAUUUCUAUGUCCAUUAUUUCCCUCCCACUUAAAUACUAGGUGUCAAUGACCAGCAUUAUUUGAUUCUAACUUCCUAAGAGUAUUGGAAAUAAACCUUAGCUACUUAUCCUAGAUUUAUCUUCUUUUGUACAUAAGACAAAAAAAAAAAAA
rnacentral:lncRNA from 1 species